GAUGAACGCUGGCGGCGUGCCUAAUACAUGCAAGUCGAGCGAACAGACGAGGAGCUUGCUCCUCUGACGUUAGCGGCGGACGGGUGAGUAACACGUGGAUAACCUACCUAUAAGACUGGGAUAACUUCGGGAAACCGGAGCUAAUACCGGAUAAUAUAUUGAACCGCAUGGUUCAAUAGUGAAAGACGGUUUUGCUGUCACUUAUAGAUGGAUCCGCGCCGCAUUAGCUAGUUGGUAAGGUAACGGCUUACCAAGGCAACGAUGCGUAGCCGACCUAAGAGGGCGAUCGGCCACACUGGAACUGAGACACGGUCCAGACUCCUACGGGAGGCAGCAGUAGGGAAUCUUCCGCAAUGGGCGAAAGCCUGACGGAGCAACGCCGCGUGAGUGAUGAAGGUCUUCGGAUCGUAAAACUCUGUUAUUAGGGAAGAACAAAUGUGUAAGUAACUAUGCACGUCUUGACGGUACCUAAUCAGAAAGCCACGGCUAACUACGUG
rnacentral:rRNA from 1 species